UACGGAGGGUGCGAGCGUUAUUCGGAAUUACUGGGCGUAAAGCGCGUGUAGGCGGGGGGACAAGUCUGAUGUGAAAGCCCUGGGCUUAACCUGGGAAGCGCAUUGGAAACUGUUUUUCUUGAGUACUGGAGAGGAAGGGGGAAUUCCCGGUGUAGAGGUGAAAUUCGUAGAGAUCGGGAGGAAUACCAGUGGCGUAGGCGCCCUUCUGGACGGUAACUGACGCUGAGACGCGAAAGCGUGGGGAGCAAACAGGAUUAGAAACCCUGUAGUCC
rnacentral:rRNA from 1 species